rnacentral:rRNA from 1 species
UACGUAGGGGGCAAGCGUUGUCCGGAAUCAUUGGGCGUAAAGAGCGUGUAGGCGGUCCGGUAAGUCAGCUGUGAAAGUCAAGGGCUCAACCCUUGAAUGCCGGUUGAUACUGUCGGGCUAGAGUCCGGUAGGGGAGCGUGGAAUUCCUGGUGUAGCGGUGAAAUGCGCAGAUAUCAGGAGGAACACCAGCGGCGAAGGCGGCGCUCUGGGCCGGUACUGACACUGAGGAGCGAAAGCGUGGGUAGCAAACAGG